rnacentral:pre_miRNA from 1 species
UUCGACCGAACUGCCUUCUGGUCGGUCUAGUCUUUCUAUAUAUAUAUAUAUAUAUAUAUGUAUAUAUAUAUAUAUAUAUAUAUAUAUAUAUAUAUAUAGAAAGACUAGACCGACCAGAAGGCAGUUCGGUCGAAGAA